rnacentral:rRNA from 1 species
GAGUGGGCUGCAAAAGAAGCAGGUAGUUUAACCUUCGGGAGGACGCUUGCCACUUUGUGGUUCAUGACUGGGGUGAAGUCGUAACAAGGUAGCGCUAGGGGAACCUGGCGCUGGAUCACCUCCUUAUACGAUGAU